GAGAUAUAUAUAGCCCGCUCGAUGGUCUUGUUAACAAGCCUCAUCAUAAAGAUGGAAAGGAUAAG
rfam:Sarcophilus harrisii ctg7180001658868, whole genome shotgun sequence.